UACGUAGGGAGCAAGCGUUGUCCGGAAUCAUUGGGCGUAAAGAGCGUGUAGGCGGCUAGAUAGGUCCGUUGUGAAAACUCGAGGCUCAACCUCGAGACGUCGAUGGAAACCAUCUGGCUAGAGUCCGGAAGAGGAGAGUGGAAUUCCUGGUGUAGCGGUGAAAUGCGCAGAUAUCGGGAGGAACACCAAUGGCGAAGGCAGCUCGCUGGGACGUUACUGACGCUGAGACGCGAAAGCGUGGGGAGCGAACAGG
rnacentral:rRNA from 1 species